rnacentral:rRNA from 1 species
CCUACCCAUAGGUUGGGACAACUCCGGGAAACCGGAGCUAAUACCGAAUAAUAUUUCAAGAACGCAUGUUUUUGAAAUCAAAGGAGGCCUCUCUAUAGAAGCUUCUGCCCAUGGAUGGAUCCGCGUCUGAUUAGCUAGUUGGUGGGGUAAUGGCCUACCAAGGCGACGAUCAGUAGCCGGCCUGAGAGGGUGAACGGCCACACUGGGACUGAGACACGGCCCAGACUCCUACGGGAGGCAGCAGUGGGGAAUCUUCCGCAAUGGGCGAAAGCCUGACGGAGCAAUGCCGCGUGAAUGAAGAAGGCCUUCGGGUUGUAAAGUUCUGUUGAGAAGGAAGAAAGAUCUAAGAGCUAAUACCUCUUAAGUUUGACGGUACUUUUCGAGGAAGCCCCGGCUAACUACGUGCCAGCAGCCGCGGUAAUACGUAGGGGGCAAGCGUUGUCCGGAAUCACUGGGCGUAAAGCGCAUGUAGGCGGGAUAUUAAGUCAGGUGUGAAAACUACAGGCUCAACCUGUAGAUUGCAUUUGAAACUGGUAUUCUUGAGUAUUGGAGAGGAAAGUGGAAUUCCUAGUGUAGCGGUGAAAUGCGUAGAUAUUAGGAGGAACACCAGUGGCGAAGGCGACUUUCUG